rnacentral:lncRNA from 1 species
GAAAAGGAGAAGUCUUAUGUGAUUCGUAAGACUGAGUUUAGAAAAAUCUCUGGUCAGAGUAAGUGUGAAUACUAGAAAAGAAUUUUUAUGAGAUUCACAAAUGAACUUGAGUCGAGCCAAUCUAACAUAUGACUGACGAUGGGGUUUGACGAGUUCUCCAUGACCUCCGUUAAGUCGGGACUCUAGAUAGAGGAGUUGUAUCACAUGAUAACUG